GCCCUCGUAGCCCAACUGGCAGGAGGCAGCGGCAUGAGGUGCCGCGCAGUGCGCGUUCGAAUCGCGCCCCGGGUA
rnacentral:tRNA from 1 species